CGAGCGGUUCGCUGUGUGCGUUGUGCGG
rnacentral:sRNA from 1 species